rnacentral:rRNA from 1 species
UACGAAGGGGGCUAGCGUUGCUCGGAAUGACUGGGCGUAAAGGGCGCGUAGGCGGUUUGCACAGUCAGAUGUGAAAUUCCUGGGCUCAACCUGGGGGCUGCAUUUGAUACGUGUAGACUUGAGUGGGGGAAGAGGGUCGUGGAAUUCCCAGUGUAGAGGUGAAAUUCGUAGAUAUUGGGAAGAACACGGUGGCGAAGGCGGCGACCUGGUCCUUGACUGACGGCUGAGGCGCGAAAGCGUGGGGAGCAAACAGG